CUAGCGCAGGCUCUCACAUAGUCUGCGCAGCUCCAGGGCUUUGGCCUGAUCCCUUCUCCGUGCAGGUGCCCCACGAACCCCGCUCAGCCAUGUCGUCCUGCAGCCGUGUGGCGCUGGUGACCGGCGCCAACAAGGGCAUCGGCUUCGCCAUCGUGCGCGACCUGUGCCGCCAGUUCUCGGGGGACGUGGUGCUCACGGCGCGGGACGCGGCGCGGGGCCAGGCGGCUGUGCAGCAGCUGCAGGCCGAGGGCCUGAGCCCGCGCUUCCACCAGCUGGACAUCGACGACCUGCAGAGCAUCCGCGUCCUGCGCGACUUUCUGCGCAGGGAGUACGGGGGGCUCGACGUGUUGGUCAACAACGCGGGCAUCGCUUUCAAAGUUGCUGAUACCACGCCCUUCCAUAUUCAGGCAGAAGUGACCAUGAAAACAAACUUUUUUGGUACCCAAGAUGUCUGCACAGAGUUACUCCCUCUAAUAAAACCCCAAGGCAGAGUGGUGAAUGUGUCUAGCACGGUGAGUCUCAGAGCCCUUAAAAACUGCAGCCCAGAGCUGCAGGAGAAGUUCCGCAGCGAGAACAUCACGGAGGAGGAGCUGGUGGGGCUCAUGAACGGGUUUGUGGAAGAUAACAAGAAGGAAGUGCACCAGAAAGAGGGCUGGCCCAGCACCGCAUAUGGAGUUUGAAAGAUUGGCGUGACAGUCCUGUCGAGAAUCCAGGCCAGGAAACUGAGUGAGCAGAGGAAAGGAGACAAAAUCCUCCUGAAUGCCUGCUGCCCAGGCUGGGUUAGAACCGACAUGGCAGGACCCAAGGCCACCAAAAGUCCAGAAGAAGGCGCAGAGACCCCUGUGUACUUGGCCCUUUUGCCCCCGGAUGCUGAGGGGCCUCAUGGACAGUUCAUAUCAGAAAAAAGAGUUGAGCAGUGGUGAGCUGGACUCAAUAGUCCAUCCGUAUGCCUCAUUUUGUACCCUGUCCUG